UCUAGUUGGACUUUCGUCAGUAAUGCCAAAAUUAUAAAAGAACACGUGCAUGUUGGUGCACAUGCACUGCACGUGAAAAUAUCCAAUAUCAGGCAAAAUGCCUAAUGCGGUUACUUUGGCCAUGAGUCACCGAACAUAAAUUAGUAAUUAGCUGCAGUACCUAUUCAAAUGCCGGCAUGUAAAAUUUCGUGCAAAUACCUGCAUUAUUGACAAAAUAGUAAUACAAAAAUAAAAUGGCCGAUUAGGAAUUUUGUUGAGUGUAUUGAACUAAAUGAGUGAGUUUUGGGGAGAAACUGCUUGAUUUGAAAGAAACUUGGUGAGGACAAAGGAUGUUACUAAAGUGUCUCAGAGAAAAUAGUCAGCAUUUUCAGAUAAGCAUUACAAGGACAUUUUCAUUGUCUUUUUAGUGUUAAUAAAAAUAUAUAACAUACACAAUUACAUGUAGAAAUUCAGUGUGCACAUUUUGAUUAACAUUUCGCUACCGUAGGACAUUUUCUUAUCUGAAACCUGCCAUUGAUAUCUGUCAAAUUUUCUUUGUGCCUUUGAAUUUUGGUGUUUGCAGUAACUGAUAUGUAUUUUAAAGGAUUUUUUUCUUCAGAGCACUGUGGUCAACAUUUGUCUCACGUGAACUGUGGAGACAUUUGGAUACUGUACCUGAAAGUUCAUCACAAAGUGCUGGUGUUUUGAUAUCUACAAGAGCAGACGGCAACAGAAUUGGAGGUUACCCAAAUCUAAAGAUGUUGAGGAGUACAAGAAACAACA
rnacentral:lncRNA from 1 species